rnacentral:rRNA from 1 species
UCCGAGAGGGGGGCCUGCGGAGGGAUCAUUACACAACAAAAAUAUGAGGGUGUGGUUUGCUGGCAACAGCGUCCGCCCCAAGUAUUUUUCACCCAUGUCUUUUGCGCACUUUUUGUUUCCUGGGCGAGUUCGCUCGCCACCAGGACCCAACCAUAAACCUUUUUUUAUGCAGUUGCAAUCAGCGUCAGUAUAAUAAUUCAAUUUAUUAAAACUUUCAACAACGGAUCUCUUGGUUCUGGCAUCGAUGAAGAACGCAGCGAAAUGCGAUACGUAGUGUGAAUUGCAGAAUUCAGUGAAUCAUCGAAUCUUUGAACGCACAUUGCGCCCUUUGGUAUUCCAAAGGGCAUGCCUGUUCGAGCGUCAUUUGUACCCUCAAGCUUUGCUUGGUGUUGGGCGUCUUUUUGUCUCUCCCCUUGUUGGGGGAGACUCGCCUUAAAACGAUUGGCAGCCGACCUACUGGUUUUCGGAGCGCAGCACAAAUUUGCGCCUUCCAAUCCACGGGGCGGCAUCCAGCAAGCCUUUGUUUUCUAUAACAAAUCCACAUUUUGACCUCGGAUCAGGUAGGGAUACCCGCUGAACUUAAGCAUAUCAUAGGC